GCAAAGCAAACAUUAACAACAACGUUUCUCAGAAGCCCCAAAACAGAGGAUCCAAAACUCCCCCUCUCUCUGUUUGGUCUCCACCGAAGACCCAGAAACAGCAUAUCAAAAGUAAAUAACAAAACUUCUCUCUUUAAAAAUCAAAACCCACCAGCAAUUCGUUUCUUUUUUUCGAAAAAAAGAAAAGAGAUCAAACCCUAGUGUCAUGAUCAGAUGCUUUAAGGUCUACAACAAUAAAAGGCAAGGACACCAUGAUCAACACAAGCAACGGCAUGAUCUCAACGUCAUCUACAUCGGCGAACCCGCAAUCACCGGGAUUAAAGACUUAUUUUAAAACCCCAGAAGGACGUUAUAAGCUUCACUAUGAAAAGACACAUCCUUCUGGUCUACUUCACUAUGCCCAUGGCAAAACUGCUACCCAGGUAACCCUAGCUAAUCUCAAGGACAAGCCUGCCCCAUCAACCCCGACAGCCCCACCUUCAAGUUUCAGUGCGAGCAGUGGUGUACGAUCAGCUGCUGCUAGGUUGUUGGGUGGUAGCAAUGGAAGCCGUGCACUUAGCUUUGUUGGAGGGAAUGGUGGGAAUAAAAGUAUUAGUAGUAGUAGUAGUAGGAUUGGAUCAUUGGGGGCUUCGAGCUCAAGUAAUUCAAUGAUUAAUACAAAUUUUGAUGGAAAAGGGACUUACUUGAUCUUCAAUGUAGGGGAUGCCAUCUUCAUAAGUGAUUUAAAUUCUCCAGAUAAGGACCCAAUAAAAUCCAUCCAUUUUAGUAAUUCAAACCCUGUGUGCCAUGCCUUUGACCAAGAUGCUAAGGAUGGACAUGAUUUUCUUGUUGGCUUGAGUUCUGGUGAUGUCUACUCUGUGUCACUGAGACAGCAAUUACAGGAUGUUGGAAAGAAGCUAGUUGGGGCCCAGCAUUAUAACAAAGAUGGUUCAGUUAAUAACAGCCGUUGUAUGAGUAUUGCAUGGGUGCCUGGAGGAGAUGGUGCUUUUGUUGUUGCUCAUGCUGAUGGUAAUUUGUACGUCUAUGAAAAGAGCAAGGAUGGUGCUGGUGAUUCUUCAUUCCCUGUUAUCAAAGAUCAAACUCAAUUCUCUGUUUCGCAUGCCCGGUACAGUAAGAGUAACCCAAUUGCCAGGUGGCAUGUCAGCCAAGGUUCAAUAAAUGGCAUUGCUUUCUCAACCGACGGGACCUAUUUAGCAACUGUUGGAAGAGAUGGUUACUUGCGAGUUUUUGACUAUUUAAAAGAACAACUUAUAUGUGGUGGGAAAAGUUAUUAUGGUGCCCUUCUUUGUUGUGCUUGGAGCAUGGAUGUGAAGUAUAUUUUGACUGGAGGAGAAGAUGAUUUAGUUCAAGUCUGGAGCAUGGAAGAUCGGAAAGUUGUUGCUUGGGGUGAAGGACACAGUUCAUGGGUGAGCGGAGUGGCUUUUGAUUCAUAUUGGUCAUCACCAAAUUCAGAUGGCACAGGGGAGAAUGUUGUGUACCGGUUUGGUUCUGUUGGUCAGGACACACAGUUGCUUCUAUGGGACCUGGAAAUGGAUGAAAUUGUAGUGCCAUUACGCAGGUGCCCUCCUGGUGGAUCUCCUACUUUCAGUACUGGAAGUCAGUCUUCACACUGGGACAGUGUUAUCCCAGUUGGUACUCUGCAACCUGCUCCAAGCAUGCGUGAUGUUCCAAAGCUUUCUCCUGUAUUAGCUCACCGUGUUCACACAGAACCUCUUUCUGGUUUAGUAUUUAGACAGGAAUCUGUUCUUACUGUAUGUAGAGAGGGCCAUAUAAAAAUCUGGAUGAGACCUGGAACCUCAGAAAGCCAGUCAGGCAACUCUGAAACCAUCUUAAGUACCAGUUUGAAGGAGAAGCCAUUAUUGUCAAGCAAGACUGGCAGUUCUGCAUAUAAGCAAUGACCAAAUUGUCAUCAGUUUCCUAGGCAAAAUGGAUCUCAUUUUCGUGAAUUUGAUUUGAAUUUGCUGUUGUGGCUGUUGAUCCUUAUUCUACGGUUGAUUUUCUCAGAGGUAGAGCUGGAUGAAUGUGAUCUGAUUGCAGGGGAAUCCGUCAACUGGGUCCUUUUGUAUAUGGAGAGAUAAAAUGCCAUUUAUGGCUCUAAGAGCUCGGGAGGGAGAAAACCCCCUAUGUAUCCUGAAGCUCUCCCACAGUAACAUGUCAUAAGCUUCAUGUUAUGGCUAGAUGAUAUUUAUUUCUCUUGGAUGUACCUUUGAUUUGGAAGAAAAAUUAUUCUUUUGGUUCGUAUUACCUCUGAGUUUUGACACAAAAGUUAUGUUGAAGAACAUGGAAUUAUGGGAGACUAGUGCUGUAUUUAUAUCGAUAUGGUUUAUUCAGGCUAACAAGCUGAACUAGAGCCAUACCAUGUUAGCAAGAGAUGUUUUGUUGUGAUUGUUUCUCUCA